AAAGGAAUUGACGGGGGCCCGCACAAGCGGUGGAUCAUGUGGUUUAAUUCGAAGCAACGCGCAGAACCUUACCUGGGUUUGACAUCCUUUGAAUACAGUAGAGAUAUUGUAGGCUCGCAAGAGACAAAGAGACAGGUGCUGCAUGGCUGUCGUCAGCUCGUGUUGUGAAAUGUUGGGUUAAGUCCCGCAACGAGCGCAACCCCUGUGUUUGGUUGCUAACAUCUAAGAUGAGCACUCCAGACAGACUGCCGUCGUUAAGACGGAGGAAGGUGGGGAUGACGUCAAGUCCUCAUGGCCUUUAUAUCCAGGGCGACACACGUGAUACAAUGGUAGGUACAAAGGGCAGCGAAGUGGAGACACGAAGCAAAUCCCAAAAAACCUAUCUCAGUUCGGAUUGAAGUCUGCAACUCGACUUCAUGAAGUUGGAAUCGCUAGUAAUCGCGGAUCAGAACGCCGCGGUGAAUACGUUCCCGGGCCUUGUACACACCGCCCGU
rnacentral:rRNA from 1 species